UGUACAUGUACACAAUGUACUACAUUAAAACCGCCUCACGCACAGCGGUGAGUAAACGCCAUGGCAACAGGACGGUGACGUUUCACUGAGGUCACCUGAACGCUGCUGGCCAUUCUGAAUUCACUUCUGCUGUUGAACUUGACGAGUGUAGCUGUGUUACCUAAAAAGUUGAACGGUCUGAGGCCCAAUCCCGUGGAAAAUAACCUGUGGAGAAUAAAUUGUUGGAGAACCGACCAAAAGUACUAACGAGUGUUACGUGGAGGAGACGAUGUCUUCCAGUGGACCCCCUGCGGUGGAGCCCCUGCUGAGCAGAGUCAGACGGUGGAUCCUUGCCUUUGCAAGUGAACCCCUCUGGCCCCUGUUCGCUGACCGCCCUGUUGUCCAGAGGGCCCUCGACGACGUGGUUCUUCCGGAUUACGAGGACGAGCUGAAGGAGGCCGAGCCCCCCAGAGGGGACGGUGAGCCACAGGUUCCUCCUCCUCCUCCCUUUGCUGCUCCCUACCCUGCUCCCUACUCUCACCCCUAUGCUGCUGCUUCCUAUGCCGCUGCUCCCUUUCCUCCUCCCUUCCCCCCUCCCUUUGCUGCUCCCUACCCUGCUCACUACCGUGCUCCUUACCCUGCUCCCUACUCUCACCCCUAUGCUGCUGCACCCUAUGCUGCUGCUCCCUACCCUGCUCCCUAUGCUGCUCCCUAUGCUGCUGCUCCCUUUGUUGCUCCCUUUGCUGCUCCCUACCCUGCUCACUACCUUGCUCCUUACCCUGCUCCCUACUCUCACUCCUAUGCUGCUGCUUCCUACUCUGCUCACUACCUUGCUCCUUACCCUGCUCCCUAAUCUCACACCUAUUCUGCUGAACGCUAUUGCUGCUUCCUAUGCUGCCAGUCCCUAUGCUGCUGCUCCCUAUGCUUAUGCUUUUGCUGCCUUUGCUGACCCUUUAACGCUGACCCUCACGCUGACCCUCACGCUGAACUUAACGCUGACCCUCAUGCUGACCUUAACGCUGUCCCUCAUGAUGGUGAUGAUGAUAUGAACGAUGAAAUUAACCGUAUGCUUCAAAGAUACAGGUUAGGGCUCCCCGAUGAGGAGGAGGACUCUGACAUCGAUGUCGUGGGUGAGUUUGCGUUACAGGUCCCUUUACUGGACAUUGAAGACAUCGGGCCAGUGCCCCCAGAAGACUCUUUUGAGGAGCUCCUGGAUGCAGAUGUUCUUGAAUCUCCCUCAACUUCUGGCCUCGACUCCUCGGCAAAACGGCGCAGGGACGAGAGCGACGGGGAGGAGUCUGCUGCGAAGAGGGCGCGGUAGUCUGAAGACAGCGACUCUGAUUGACAAUCCUCCGGGAAGCUUCGGAGCAACCACUGAGUCCACUUGCAGCAGGAACAGUGGUUGCCAUGGUAGCCUUUGCGUCUGGCAGGGCUAGUGUCCCCCAUGUAGCGUCUUGCAUUGGGGCUUUUCUGUAUUAUGUAGUCAUAUUUGCACAAGACAUCGGUCAACCUUUAUUUCAUCCUGAGGCCUUUGCGUCUGGCGGGGCUGUUGACCCCUUCUGCAGGUACUGGUAUCCUUUGCGUCUGGCAGGGCUUGUGUCCCCCAUGUAGCGUCUUGCUCUGGGGCUUUUCUUCUUCUUUGCGCGGUGGAUCGAUCAACUUUUCUUUCAUCCUGACGGCCGGCCUUUGCGACUGGCUUGGCCGGCGCUGCCUCAGGUAGCCUUUGCGUCUGGCAGAGGCGUUGACACCCCGAGCAUGUAGCCUUUGCGUCUGGCAGGGCUGAAGAAGACAAAAAUGCUUUUAUGUCUCGUUUUAUGCCUCCCCCUCCCCCACAGUGUCCACAUUCCUUUACAGGUUAAGAGUGAAGGUAUCAGUGAAAACUGACAAACAACAGAGUAAGUAGAACUCCCAAGGUUAGAAAUGCCUUCAUAUGGCCAAAUAUAGUGUAUGCCGUUAUGGAAAUUCAUAAUAUUCAAAUAUUUACAAUUACUUCCCAUACUAAUUAUGUUUUUAUCCCAUUUGGCCGUGUGAAAAAGUAAGUACCAGCGUCUGUUUUGUUCAGACAGUGACCUAUAACAUGAAUACAAAGUAAUAUUAUUUACUACAAACUGCCUGCUUCAUCUAUUUGUUCAUAGAUCAUUUUUUAUUAUGUCGUGCAAAGAUAAUUUGUUAUAUAACUUACCAUUAUGUGUUGUUACCUCUCUCACUUUGCCACCUGAGAUGCUGCUGUUCAAUGUGGACGAAAAAGGUAAGUAACUUAGAAUAAUCUGUAACCUACAGGCAACGUUAGAAGUAGGUUCUUUUAUUCUAUUGUGAAUCUGUUUAUGCACUUUGUAUGUUGACUCUAUUAUGCAAAUAUUGUUUUUACUAACCAAUACUUUAACCACACUCCAACUGAGCUGCUGCUGUUCACCGAGGACCAAAAGGCCGCUACCUCUCGCUGUGGACUAAAAGAUGAGUAAGAGUAUCUGACUUCUGUAAUAUGUAUAUAAAGUAAUGUGUGUUAUUGUGUAAACCAGCUCUUUGUGCACCUCAGUACCCUUAAACUGUCACUAAUUCAAUAACUCAAAGGUGUUUGUGCCCCAGACAGAAAAGUGUCAAUAGUGAAUGAUAACAUCAAUAUUUAGGUGUAUUUGCUGGCCUUUCUCAGUCUGACGUCCACACAGGGAGCAGCAAAGGAGGAAGAGCCGGACUCCGGGUUCCUGCAGGACAUCCAGGGCUACACGUUGAACACUAAAAAGAAACGCCCACAUUCCACUCCCAGGACAAGAUGGAGAGCAGCUAAGUUGAACUACUUCCUGUUCUUCUGUUUCAGAGACUCAACUUCCUGCACUACAUCCAGGGUGACCAUGACGACAGAAGACAAUCGCUCACUCCCGACCAGGGCAGCACUCCUGUUGUAUCCUUUGGAAAUCCUCGUGGUCCUGAGAGUGGAUGUAAACAGAAGUGUAAGCAGCCGUCCACUCAGAACAUUUCUCCACCUCACUGUUUAGAUGAAGAAUUCAAUAAAACACUUCUCAUAGAACCCUUUUGUUUUGGGAGAUUUCUUUGGUUCAAUCUCAUGUUCAUGUGAACCUUUUGGAGCGUUGAAUCGGUCGCAGGUGUCAUGAAAUGCAUCCUGGUUUAAAUGGCCCUAAACCAGCUUUGGAUCUUUCAACAAGCAGGCACACCGAUUCAUGUGGAUUACUCUGUAGAACAGCGGUUCCCAAACUCAAGAAUGCCGCGGCCCAAUUUGAAAUCUGAAAAUCUUUUGCGGCCCACCCAAACCUUUAAUCACAACUCUGAUCAAAACAUAAACUAGGGAUGAUUAAAUGACCUUAAGAAUUUAACCGAUUAAAAAUGUAUUAACAAUGUUUUGUAUACCAUUUUCUCCGGAGCUCCUAUAUAUUUACUUUAAUACUACAAGAGGGCGCCCCAUUUGACAUUGUUUUGUUUGGCGGCGCCUUUUGUUGAAUAACGACAGUCGGACAAGAGCUGGUCAGAUAAAAUAAUUUAAAUCAUAUUUAUAUUCAUUUAAAACUUUUCAAAAUUGAAAAUUAAAAACAUUUAUUGUAAAUGACCUCUCGCGGCCCACACUUUGGGAAUCGCUGCUGUAGAACAUUUCCACUUCCAUAAUAAUACGUAUUUCAUGAGGUAAUUAAGCUUCAAGUUGGGUCUACUGGAGACGAGUAGACAUUUCCUAAUGCUUCUUCCUCAUCUACUUGAGCUCAUCAGAACACGUAAUCAUUCAGGUCUGGGGAUGUUUCCACAUACAGCAGCAUGAUGUAACAAGUAGGCAUUCAAGUCACUGUACAUGGAGAAUGUAACCACUGCAUGCACCUCUUGUACUGGAAACAAUGCAGCCUUAAUAAACAUACGGUAGCUCUGCACCUUGAUCUCUCCAUUUUGUAUUGGAUGAAGUGUGUUCUUCAUUAACUGCACUGGUUUCAAAAAGGAGGAUAAAAUGACUUAGUUUCCCAGUGUAGCAUCUCUACAGAAGCCUCGGCUUCCCUUUCACGCCGGUCUGUUGUCUGAUCCUGGUCCAGCUGUUUCACC
ensembl:lncRNA